ensembl:lncRNA
UUUAAAUAAAAUGUAUAUAUUUGUCAUUUGAAUAUCGCUAUGUACACACACAUGCAUAAUUAUUUUAUUUUAUUAAAAAUAUAUGCACCUGUGUGAAACUCAUUUGCACAACUCUUCAAUCAGCAAUCAGUCCUCAUCCAUCUAUAAAAGAUGCCACCUCUGUGUUGCUAUUUGCAAGCAUGGAUCAAAGAGGCCAUAGGCACGGAAGGAGAGUAAGAGGCCAUGGCAGAGGGGCCCGAGGAAGAGGAGUUUGUAUGCGUGGUGGAGGAGCUGCAGCAGCAAGAGGACAAAAUCGAGCUCAAGUUUCAAAUGAAAUUCGGGCAACAAUUAUUGACCAUGUCAUCAAUCAUGGCUUGUCCUUUAGAAAGGCUGGACAAAGGGUCCAGCCCAUUCUGAGUCGGAGCACUGUGGCAUCUAUUGUCAGGCUUUUUCGGAAUGAGAACAGAAUCCACACAUUGCCACACACUGGUGGCAGAGGAAAGAUAUUUAGUAUUGAACAGGAGUCUGCCAUUGUAGAUAUGGUAGUGGCAAACAAUGCAAUCAGACUGCGUGAAAUCCAGGCAGCAGUAAUUGCAGAUCAGGGAGCAUUUCGAAAUAUAAACUGUGUGAGUUUGGCAACUAUAGAUCGAGUCCUUGAACGAAACCAUGUCAGAAUGAAGCAGCUGUACAGAGUUCCAUUUCAAAGAAACUCUGACAUCGUAAAGGAGGCACGAUUCCAGUAUGUGCAGCAAAAAUGUGCAGAUUUUUUUUGUAAUACCUUGUAAUACCUUGUUUACCAUAGUUACAUGCGACUGGAAUAAUUUGCUUUAUGAAUUUGUUCUUUCUCUUAGAGAAUAAUGGAGCUUGAAGCUGAAGGGGCACAUCACAAAUUCAUUUUUGUGGAUGAAGCCGGCUUCAACCUCUGUAAAGUGAGGCGACGCGGGAUGGAACAUCAUUGGGCAGAGGGCCACUGUCACAGUGCCAGGUCAGAGGGGUGCCAAUAUCACCAUGUGUGCUGCCAUCUCCAAUGAUGGAGUCCUUUGCCACAUACCAACUAUUGGCCCAUACAAUACAGAACGCCUCAUCACAUUUCUUGAUGCAUUGAAAGAAUUACUGAUUCCACCCGAAGAGAGAGGGCUGUUGAGGCCUGGCAUGACUCUGUAUGUCAUAAUUUGGGACAAUGUGGCUUUCCACCACUCUCGCCUUGUGAAUGAAUGGUUUGCAGCACAGCCUCGUAUUAUGAUGCAAUUCCUCCCUGCAUACUCGCCUUUUCUGAACCCAAUCGAGGAGUUCUUCUCUGCUUGGAGGUGGAAGGUGUAUGAUCACCGGCCAUAUGAGCAGAUGCCCCUCCUGGAGGCAAUGAAUGCUGGUUGCCUGGCAAUAGGUGCAGAGGACUGCCAGGGAUGGAUACGCCAUGCAAAGGAGGUAUUUCCCUCGGUGCAUUGCAAGGGAAUAUAUAUAUCUUUCUUUUUUUAAAAGGUAUUUCCACCCAUAAGUUUCCUUUGGUAGUUUUUUUUUCCAGUAUCCAUUUGAGUUUGUAAAGUAUCAUAUUUCAUAUUGAUGGCUGCAUUUUGUAUUUUGUUGUCCAUUGUGUAAUGAUUGAUUGAAAGAAUAAAUUAAUUUGACCACAAGUUGUGGUGUUUGAU